UGUAAAGACUUUCGCUUUAAGAA
rnacentral:snRNA from 1 species